GUAAUACGUAGGGGCGAGCNUUUUCCGGAUUNUUGGNGUAAAGGGUUUCGCAGGCGGUNUUUAAGUCAGAUGUUAAAUGCAUANGCUCAACCUAUGAGUGCAUUUGAAACUGGAAGACCUGAGUUAAGGAGAGGAAAGUGGAAUUCCUAGUGUAGCGGUGAAAUGCUUAGAUAUUAGGAAGAACACCGGUGGCGAAGGCGGCCUACUGGACCAAAACUGACACUGAGGCUCGAAAGCGUGGGUAGCAAACAGGAUUAGAUACCCUGGUAGUCCACGCUGUAAACGAUGAAUACUAGGUGCCGGGAGCCAUAAGGUUUUCGGUGCCGUCGCAAACGCACUAAGUAUUCCACCUGGGGAGUACGUUCGCAAGAAUGAAACUCAAAGGAAUUGACGGGGACCCGCACAAGCGGUGGAGCAUGUGGUUUAAUUCG
rnacentral:rRNA from 1 species